AUUGAACGCUGGCGGUAGGCUUAACACAUGCAAGUCGAGCGAGAAAGUAUCUUCGGAUAUGAGUAGAGCGGCGGACGGGUGAGUAACGCGUAGGAAUCUACCUAGUAGAAGGGGAUAGCCCGGGGAAACUCGGAUUAAUACCGUAUACCUCCUAAGGGAGAAAGAGGGCCUCUCUUGAAGCUCUCGCUACUAGAUGAGCCUGCGUAAGAUUAGCUUGUUGGUAAGGUAAUGGCUUACCAAGGCUACGAUCUUUAGCUGGUCUGAGAGGACGAUCAGCCACAUUGGGACUGAGACACGGCCCAGACUCCUACGGGAGGCAGCAGUGGGGAAUAUUGGACAAUGGGCGCAAGCCUGAUCCAGCCAUACCGCGUGUGUGAAGAAGGCCUUCGGGUUGUAAAGCACUUUAAGCAGGGAGAAAAAGCAAUAAGUUAAUACCUUAUUGCCGUGAUGUUACCUGCAGAAUAAGCACCGGCUAAUUCCGUGCCAGCCGCCGCCGUAACAC
rnacentral:rRNA from 1 species